rnacentral:rRNA from 1 species
GUCCAGACUCCUACGGGAGGCAGCAGUAGGGAAUUUUGCGCAAUGGGGGAAACCCUGACGCAGCAACACCGCGUGAAUGUUAAGCCCUUCGGGGUGUAAAGUUCUGUCAAUAGGGACGAAUUUUGACUGUACCUAUAAAGGAAGCACCGGCUAACUCCGUGCCAGCAGCCGCGGUAAUACGUAGGGAGCGAGCGUUGUCCGGAAUUACUGGGUGUAAAGGGAGCGUAGGCGGGGAUGCAAGUUGGAUGUUUAAACUAUCGGCUCAACCGGUAAUUGCAACCAAAACUGCAACUCUUGAGUGAAGUAGAGGCAGGCGGAAUUCCUAGUGUAGCGGUGAAAUGCGUAGAUAUUAGGAGGAACACCGGUGGCGAAGGCGGCCUGCUGGACUGUGACUGACGUUGAGGCUCGAAAGCGUGGGGAGCAAACAGGAUUAGAUACCCUCGUAC